rnacentral:rRNA from 1 species
GCGUCUGUAGCCUGGUGUGUAAGUCUAUUGUCAAAGACCCCGACUCAAUCGGGGGAAGGGAAUAGAUACUGCACGUCUAGAGUAUUUUAGGGGUUAGUGGAAUUUCCGGUGGANCGGUGAAAUGCGUUGAUAUCGGAAGGAACGCCAAAAGCGAAAGCAGCUAACUAUAAAAUUACUGACGGUGAGAGACGAAAGCUUGGGUAGCAAACGGGAUUAGAUACCCCGGUAGUCCAAGCCGUAAAUUUUGUUCGCUAGAUGUGUGUCGUAUGACGCGUGUCGUACCUAACGGGUUAAGCGAAUCGCCUGGGUAGUAUAUUCGCAAGAAUGAAACUCAAAGGAAUAGGCGGGGGAACACACAAGCAGUGGAUGAUCUAGAGUAAUUGGAUAAUAAGCCAAGAAUCUUACCUAGGCUUGACAUAUACUUUGUCGUACGUGUAAGCGUGCUACUCUAGCUUGCUAGAGAGGGUAUACAGGUAGUGCAUGGUCGUCGUCAGCUCGUGCCGCAAGGUGUCCAGUUAAUUCUGGAAACGGGCGCAACCCUCAU